GCUCUCGACCCCCGCAUCUCAUCCCUCCUCUCGCUUAGUUCAGAUCGAAAUCGCAAAUGGCGAAGAUUAAGAUCGGGAUCAAUGGGUUCGGGAGGAUCGGGAGGCUCGUGGCCAGGGUGGCCCUGCAGAGCGACGACGUCGAGCUCGUCGCCGUCAACGACCCCUUCAUCACCACCGACUACAUGACAUACAUGUUCAAGUAU
rnacentral:misc_RNA from 1 species